GCAUAGGCUUUGGGCUUGCAUGUUCCAUCUUGUGAUCAUGUGAUCAUGGGAUGGGUGUGUAAAACCUGAUCAGACGAUGCUUUUUUGCGAGGUGCAACCGAGGGCUGAGAAGCUCGAACUGGUGAGAGGCAUGCAGCUCGCGCUGGUCGAUUGCAUCAUCAGAUGAUAUGUAGUGUUGGCCUUAUCAGAUGUAGGUAAUGACAUGUCGGAAGAGCAGGUCGACACAUCUUGGGCAUGGGAACUUAGACCAGAAGCAUUGGUGUCGACUUGGGCACUUGGUGCAGCAACCAAAUGCACUAAGUCGAAUGUCUGCAACACAUCAUUAUGGGCUAGUGUGCAUAGGUAGGUGGACUAAUCGAGAUGUCCAUGUGCUGAAAGGGGCCACCUGAAGGUCCAGCAUUAGUCGUCUGAUCUGAGGAUCCAACGCAUGGUAGAACUCUUUGUGACCAGUCCUGCACAGGAAGAGACAUAUGAUAAGAAGAAUCAAUGGUACC
rnacentral:lncRNA from 1 species